rnacentral:misc_RNA from 1 species
GAUGAAGAACGUAGCGAAAUGCGAUAAGUAAUGUGAAUUGCAGAAUUCAGUGAAUCAUCGAAUCUUUGAACGCACCUUGCGCUCUUUGGUAUUCCGAAGAGCAUGCCUGUUUGAGUGUCAUGAAAAUAUCAACCUUGACUUGGGUUUUGUGCUCUAGUCUCGGCUUGGAAUUGGGUGCUUGCCGCUUUUACGAGCGGCUCACCUUAAAUGUAUUAGCUGGAUUUGUCUUUGAGACUUGGUUUGACUUGGCGUAAUAAGUAUUUCGCUAAGGACAUUCUUCGGAGUGGCCUCGUUUCUAGGACGCUUGUCCGCUUUCCAAUACAAGUUCCACCUCGUGGACAUGACUUUUUAUUAUCUGGCCUCAAAUCAGGUAGGACUACCCGCUGAACUUAAGCAUAUCAAUAAGCGGAGGA